AGCAGGCAAAGUUCUGACAGUUGGUCAUGGUCUUCUGAGAGUUGCUCUCUGGCUGCUGGAGGAGAAAGACUCAACUCAGACCUUGCUCUCUGGUGGUGAUAGGGAAGAAAGAACUCUAAAUUAUCUUAAGAGGGUUUUCUACUUCUUUCCUGACUUUGGGAAUUCAUCUUGAAGAAAGAAGCUGUCAGAUCUGCUGUGUUGGAGAACUGUUUUUGAGGGAAGAAAGAUCAAAGGCCUGUUUGCCUGAACUGGAGACAUCUCAGAACCAUACUCUGCAUACCCCUGUACUUAUUGCUACUCUACAAACAUUGAUUGAGCUCAGCAAAAAUGAAGUAGAAGAUUCAAAGAAUGAAGUAACUUCUAGACUAAAGUUUAUGGCAUCCACUCUUUUAAAUGGCACAACUUCUUGAUGAAGCUUUUGGAGGUAGCAGUGAUUUCCACCUUUCUACAAUAUAUCUGGCCCUUUGUGAGAUACCAGCUGAGGAGAGAGAGACAUGAACAGGCUGCUGGCAGCUAGAUUGAAGAACAAAGAAGAACCAUAAAAUCUCUACUGGACCUAAUUUGAACUUUACCUCUGGGAUCUUGGCACAUUUCUGGACUCAGUUUGUGAGGUUCUGUUUGGGGGGAGCUUAACUUAUUUAGUUUAGAUAUUAGCUAAUUGGAUAGUAUUAAGGGAAAUUAGUUUUGGGGAUAAGAUUAAGUACUUUUCCUUCUUCUUUGUUACCCUCCUUCCUAUCCCAUUUCCCCAUCAAUAAACUUAAAAUAUUUAGAUGUUUACUUCUUUUCUCUUCCCCUUAAAUAAUCUCAUAAUAACAGUUCUAAGGUAUCUUCCAUUUUCAUUUCUGAAAUUUAAUUCUUUAGCUUGCUAUCAUCUCAAACAUUAUAUAGUCUGAUUUCUUCCCAAGUCUAAAAUCUAAUGUUCUAAAAUUUAAAGAAGUCCUUGACUAAAUGGAUUCAAUAGUCAUAGGAUUUAGAGCUGAACAGGCUUCAAUGCUCUCAAUAAAAGAUGAGAAAUUAAGAUCAGAGUUAAAAUUACUUGCCCAAAGUCACAAAGUAAGUAAAUAGCAGCAUUAGAUUUGGGGGCUCCUGCUACUAACUCAGUAACAGUUCUCUUUCCACAAUGUUUCUGAUAGUGGAAGAGCCAAGAUGGAGGAUUAAACCAGAGCAGCUCCUUGUUACCAUAAGAAGUCUCUCCAAACAAGAUUAAAAUAUCAUCCCAAAACAAAUACAGGAAUGAAAGAACCAACAAGGAGACAGAGUGAAACAACUAUCAAGAAAAGAAAAAACCCAAAAGAUAGGCAGAGAGCAUCUGGGACACUGGGUUAAAAGGAGAGCAGACCCAUUAAGAAGCUGUAGCAAGGAGGGAAGAGCAAGCCAAGAUCAAGCCCCCUCCGCCCACCCACCCCCCCACAUUAUAAAUAAGUCCAAGUCAACAUUUGGACCCUGAGAUCCUGCCUGGGAAAAAAAGUCGUACAAGCCAACCCUGACCCCUUGAAAUUUCAAAACUGUGGAGAAGUCCAGAGUGCUAUCUCAGGGCAGUCCGGGCUGAAGUGAGCUGAUCUGUGUGGGCUCAGGGAGAAACCAAGAAUCCCAAUCUGGGUUUGGGAUAAGAACAUAGUUCACACUUUGGGAUGAGGACACAAUUCAUGGAGGGUGGAGUGGUGGUAGGGCCAGAUAUUUUUGCCCAAAAUUAAGGGCUGAGCUCCUUGACAGGCAAAUCAAGGGUAUGCCUAAUUGAAUCAAUCAGGUAAUUGGUAAGAACAAAAAAAAUUGAGGCUAAAUUUGGGGCUAGAAUUUGAUUAGCCCCUGACCUGAUCAAGUUCAGAGUGAGAUCAAAAUCUUAUGCACAAGCCUGAGGCAAGUCCUUAAGUUAUCAGCAUCUGAAAGGUCAAUUGAAUCAUCAGGGUGAAGGGGCUCUCAGAUCCCUCAGCCCUUAGAUCAUCAUAACAGUCUCCAAGAACUAACUGAUAAAAAAUCCAGAAAAUAAACUGAGAAUAACAUAAAGGAAGGACUGAAGUUUAACAGGGUACUCCAACUUCCCAGAAAACAGUCUCCCUAUUAUUCGAUAGGAAAAAUGAGCAAACAACAAAAAAGCACCUAACUCUACAUAAUUUUAUGGAGAUGAAGAACAAGGUAAAGAUGAAGAAGGAGAGAGUGAAAGCAAAGCAAACACACACAAAGUCCAAAAGAAAAAUACGAAUUGGACACAGAUUCUGGAAGAACUCAAAAAAGACUUCAAAAACCAAUUCAGGGAGGCAGAGGAAAAGUGGGGAAGAGAAAUGAAAGUGAUGCAAGAAAAAAGGAAAGUGAUAUAAGGAGAAAUUAAAGUGACACAAAAAAGAAGUGGGCCAAUUGAAAAAGGAGAACCAAAAGCUAACAGAAGAAAACUAGGUCUUAAAAAUCAGAACUGACCAUCUAUAAACUAAUGACUUAAUGAGAAAUCAAGAAACAACAACGCAGAAUCAAAGGAAUGAAAAAAAAAACAGAGGAAAACAUGAAAUAUCUUAUUAAAAAAAACAACUGACCUAGAAAAUAGAUCUAGAAGAGACAAUCUGAGAAUUAUUAUACUAAGGAAAGCCAUGAUGAAGAAAAGAAAAAAAAACUUUGGAUAUCAUAUUACAUGAAAUUAUCAAAGAUAACUGCCCAGAGAUCCUUGGACAAGAAAAUUUAAUUGAAAUUGAAAGAAUUCACAGAUUACCUCCAGAAAUAAUUCCUCAAAUGACAACUUCCAGUAAUAUAAUUACUAAAUUCAAAUGUCACCAAGUGAAGGAGGAAAUACUUCAAGUAGCGAGAAAGAAAACAUUCAAAUACCAUGGAGCUACAAUCAGGAUUACACAGGACCUAGAGGAUUCUACAUUAAAGAAUCAAACGGCAUGGAAUAUGAUACUCAGGAAGGCAAAGAUUUGAGUUUACAUAACAGAGAAUAACACCAAAUGAGGGGUUUAUACCCCUGAAUAUAUUCUUUCAGGGAAAAAACAGACAUUCAAUAUGAUAGAAUAUUUCUAAGCAUUCCUGAGGAAUAAGUCAGACCUAAACAAACAAACAAACAAAAAAUAUGAAGUCCAAACACCCAACACAAGAGAAGCCCAAAAAGGUAAAUAAAAAAGAGAAAAUUUAAGGAACUCAUUAUGGUCAAAAGGUUUAUAUAUCUAUGUGGAAAGAGGAUUUCUAUAAUUCUCAAAAUUUACUCUUAGUAGUAGAGUAAUUGAAGGGAUUUACAUAGAAAGAAGGUGAAGUAAAUUGAUUAAGAUGAUAUGAUGAUGGGUAUGUAUGUGAUACAUAUAUGACGAUAUAUGAUAUGAUGUGUAUGUAAAGUGAUGAGAUGGAAUGAUAUGUACGUAUGAUAUAUAUGCUUAUGAAUGAUAUGUUUAAAAAAUAAAUCAAGGACUGAAAGAGAGAGUUGCACUGAGAGAAAUGAGAAGGGAGAGAUAGAAUAGGGUAAAUUAUAUAACAUAAAGAAGUAUAAAAAUCAUUAUAGAGCAGGGAGGAUAAGGGUGGUGACAGGCAAUGCUUAAACUUUACUGUCAUUGUAACUGGAUCAGAGAGGGAAAAACAAGUAUACUCAGUGGAAUAUAGAAUUAUAUCUUACCCUGCAGAGAAGUAGAAGGGGAAUAAGACAAGGGAAGAUGAAGGUAAUUAGAGGGAAGGGGAAGUGGUGGUGGGCAUGACAAAAAGCAAAUACUGAUGAGGAACAGGAAGAAAGGGAAUAGAACAUGAUCCAAAGGGGUUACUAUGACGGAGGGCAAUACAUAGUUAGUAAUCAUACUGCUUAAUGAGACUCCUAUUUUUGAGAUCCCAACUGAUAUACUUGAAUCUCUCUGGGCCACAUCAUCUUCUGAUGUUGGCCUACUUAAAUUGGUUGUCCCUGUCCAAAUUCAAAUAAAAUCUAGCCCACCCCCUUCCAUUCCUUAAUACCCUCUUUCAAAAGAGGCAAUUGAUGGCAUUACACCUGUAAUAAAUUCCCUGAUUGACCAAGGCAUUAUAAUUCCCUGUAAAUCUGAAUACAAUACACCUAUCCUGCCUGUUAAAAAGCCAAAACUAGGGCCCGAUGGCAAGCAUCUCUAUCAAUUUGUCUAGGAUAUAUCUGAGAGCUGUGAACAAUCACAUUAUAAAGAGACACCCUGUAGUUUCCAACAUAACUACUGUUAUUUCUUCUAUUCCUAGCACAGCUACAUACAUUACAGUAGUAGAUUUGUGCUCAGCUUUCUUUUCUAUACCCAGAAAUGAGAACUCCAGACAUGUCUUUGCUUUCACCUGGAAGGGCUGACAGUUGACCUGGGCUUGUCAGCCCUAAGCGAUUGUGGACAGCCCUACCCUGUUCACACAAUUCUUAACUGUGAUACAGGAUAACAUAAAAUUUAAAUACAGAUGUUUAAUUCAAUAUUUGGGUUGAUUUGCUCUUAGCCUCACCAAACACUGAAGCAUGCCAACAGGAUAGCAAGCACCUUCUUUUAGAGCUGCUUAAGAGAGGCCACAAGGUCUCCAAAUACAAAGUUCAGUGGUGUCUCCCCAAGGUACAAUAUUUAGGCUUCAUUUUAACUGCUGGGUCCCAUUUAAUUUCUCCCAAGUGUAUUGAAAAUAUCUAAAAGUUAAGCACUCCUAUGACUAAAAAGCAAUUGAAGGCAAUUCUUGGAGCAACAGGAUUAUAUCAGCAGUGGAUCCCUUGCUAUAAGGAAAUCAAUAAGCCCCUUAUAGCACUCACAAAAAACUCAGUCCCUGAACCACUUAAACUUGAAGUAGAACAUCUAACAGUUCUUUCAAAUUUAAAACAAGCUAUCCUGUCUGCCCCUGCUCUAGGAAUCCCAAAUUAUGAUAAACCAUUUACCUUAUAUAUCCAUGAACAAAAAGGGGUAGCUUCAGAUGUUCUAACUCAAUUUUUGGGACCGGCUCAAUGACCGAUAGUCUAUUACUCAGCCCAGAUUGACCCUGUAGCUACUGGAGCACCACCAUGGCUUUGAGGGGUAGCUUUCACAGCUUUAUUGAUAACAAAAUCUGCUGAUCUGGUAUUAGGAUGCCCUCUGACCAUAAUGUGCCCACAUGAGGUUGAGGCAUUGUUAUUAAGACAUAGGAUACAGGCAUUUACUGACCAAAGGAUUACUAGGUAUGAGAUAACCCUAUUGAAUAAUGAACAUAACAUACUAAACACCAUGAAGUUCUUAAUCCUGUAAUCUCGCUCCCUGAUUUACCAAUUUCCAGAAAACCUUUACAAGAUUGUACAUCUUUAGUGUCCACUGUUGAUAAACCUCAUAAUAAUUUACUGGACACCCCUUUGUAUAAUUUGGAUUUAAUAUUAUUUACAGAUGGUUCUUCAUUUAUGAGGGAUAGUGUGUGCUAUACAGGAGCUUCAGUAGUUAAGAAAUUUGAUACUCUGUGAUCAGCUUCCUUACCCUCAAAUGUAAGUGAACAGGGUACAGCACUCACAGAUUUGAAACAUGCCUGUAUCAUUAUAAAGGAUAAAAGGGUCACAAUUUACAUAAACUUCCUCUACAACUUUGGCAUAUGUCAUGCUGUUAGCAUGCUAUGGCUUCAGAGGGGAUUCUUAACAUCUGCUAGAAAAUGUAUUGCAGAUGCAAACCUUAUUACUGAACUUCUUUCUGUCAUCCAGCUCCCCAAAGCUAUAGCUGUCAUUCACUGCUCUGCACACACAGGUGGCACUGAUCCUGUCUCCAGGGGAAAUAGCCAAGCAGAUAUGUCAGUCAAACUAACAGCUUUAGGAGGACCUGAAUUAAUUUAUGCCACUAACAAUUAUUGAUAAUUUGGGUCUAUCACUUUCUUAUAAUGAAAAGGAAGCAGAGAAAUGGAAGCAGAGAUUCAAAGCAAAACAGAUUCAUGGAGUGUGAGUAUCAUCAGAUGGCAAAUCCCUCUUCCCCAGAGCUUUCUAUAAUCAGAUUUGUCACUCCAUUCAUAAACAUGGCCAUUUUGGCACCCAAGGCAUUGUAAACUAUGUUAAAAGAGUAUGGAUAGCACCUGGAAUAACUACAAUUGCCUCCAAAGUAUGUACAGAUUGUCCUAUCUUCCAAGUCUUUAAUCAACAUGUAUUUCAAGGAAAAGCUUUUGGUUGAUGUUCUCUUGUUUAUACACCAUUUGAGCACCAACAAGAGACUUUAUCUCUAUGCCAAAAGCUGGACAGUAUAAAUUUUUUUCUGGUCAUAGUCAAUCAACUGACCAUGUGACCUGAAGCAUUUUCUAUUGCUCAUGCCACAGAGGCUUUUGUUGCUAAAAUCCUUUUGAAAAAAAUUAUUCCUCGUUUUGGCCUGCCAACACUUGAUUCAGAUAAAGGAACUCAUUUUACUGAUUUGGUCUUAUUGCAAAUUUAUUCAUAUUUGGGGAUAACUCCUAAAUUUCAUACACCAUAUUAUUGCCAGAGCUCUGGCCAAGUUGAACAAAUGAAUAAAUAAUUUAGGACCAUGUUUGGCAAAUUGUGCAUGGAAUCUCAUUUAAAGUGGACUGACAUUCUACCUCUGGCCCUAUUUUAUCUCAGAAGCAGACCCAGAGAUGAUUUGCACACUUCACCUUUUGAUAUGCUAUUUGGACAUCCACCUAUUUAGACACAACCAUUUACCCCUACCUACCCUACCCUCACUGUUAGGAGAGGAUACAAGUAUUGCUGCAUAUAUCAGACAAUUACAAACAAAAUUAUGAGAACUCCAUGACCCUGGACCUGCUGUUCAGGCAGGCCCCCCAUAGAUUUCUCACUUCAUCAUUUAAACCUAGGUGAUAGUGUGCUCAUAAACAAUUUCAAAUGUACUGGGUCGACUGAACCUACUUAUGAUGGACCAUUCCAUAUCCUACUAACUACACCAGCAGCCAUAAAAAUUGGAGAGAGGGACUCUUGGAGUCAUUGUAGCCAUGUAAAAUGAGUACCUUCUGUUCAUGAUGAAUAAUUGAUUGUACUGAUUGUAUUUGACUAUUGAAUGUGAUAAGACUUCUUUAUUGCUGGAUUUGUACUAUUUUGUUACACUUUAUUUGGUUGAUUCUUGAAUUUUCACAAAUUGCUUACAGGGCAACACAAAUACUACCUCAUAGAAGAAAUUCUGUAUUAGUGACCUAUAUUGACCUGAUGUGCCUUUUGUAACAUUUUGUGCAUUUACUAAUUCUUUUAGUAUUUUUUAAUGUAUUAUUCCUUUAUCUACCUCAGUUGCACUCACAUUGUUUUGUCUACUUCAUUUGAACUCAAAUUGUUUUAUCUACCUUAUUUGUACUCCCACUGUGGAUCAUGAUAAGUCUAAGAGGAAAUGAAUCUUAUUUUUUUUUAAACUAGCCCCUAUACUUUACCUCAGUAAUUGUGAAAUAUACACAAUUUUAACAUUUUGUUUUUUUUCCUACAUUUGUCAUACAGUAUUUGAAUUUUUUUCUUCAUUUCUCAUUUCUUGCCUUGAAACACAUCACAGGUAUUGAAAAGGUUUUUUGUUUUUGUUUUUUUCAACUAUUUUUACUUUUUGCAAUAGAAUACCUAAGAUGUCAGUUUAUCUAAUAUAAAAACAUACGCAAAAACCUUUUGGACUAUAGCAACCUGCCACUAGUUGUUUAACUAUUAUGAGACUUUUGCUCGAUGAGUAUGUCUAAUCCAAGGAGAAAAAGACCACAAUGGAGUAUAGAAAUUGAUCUGCAAAAUGCCAAACGAGCACAAAAAGGUAAAAGAAACCAAGUCAAUCCUACAAGGAUUGAUGAUUUUCUGCACAAAAAGCAAAUUGAUUUGAUCAUGUGUGAGACUCAAGGUUGGGGCUGUUUAACAUGUGUUAAAUGCAGGACUUCCCUGAAUCACACUCUAUAUCAAGAACAUAUCAUCAAUUGUUCUGGCUCCAUUAUCCUGAAAAAGCGAAGAAAAGGGUUGAACCAGGGAAAUCUAUUUCCAAUUUGUCUUGAGAUCUAGUCUCUUUUUCUAUUUUCUCUCAUAAUGUGACAACUUACUGUAGUCUGGGUUGCUAAAUUGGGUUAGUGACUGUUGUUGUACGCUUAUGAGACAUGAAUCACUACAAAACCUGUGUUGAUUUGUGAAUUUUUUUCUUUUUUCCUUCCCAAUUUUUUUUCAAAUUUUCUUUUCAUAUUUUAUAUCUGAGUCAGAGGAUAUUUUUUAAAAUUUCUUUGACUUCUUUGAUGUUUUUGAUAGUUGAUUCAUAUGCAUUAUGACUCUACUAUGUAUCCCUGUGUAAUUCCUGCAUGUAUCCCUGUAUCCUCCUCGGGGGAAAAUGUAUUUUUAUUUUCCUCAGGGGGGACUAUGUUAUUGUUGUGAACUUUGGCUUGAAUUUGAGCCUAAUUUAGGACAAGAGACUACCUCCCAGAAUCUAGAAUGCUCUGUGAAGAUUUCUACAGAAACCACAUGCUGCACCAGAAGAUCCAGAUUGAACUUUGAGAUAUAAUGAAUUUGAACUUUGGGAGGGUUGAAUGCUUUUGUUUUGAAUGUAUAGUCUUAUGCCAAAGGGAACUUCCCCCAGUUGGAUUUCUAUCAAUGCACCUAAUAUUGGAUUUGUUCCUCUUCCUUUUUAUUUUCCUCUUAUCCCCAAAUUAUUGUAAUUUCCCUUUAAAAACUGUAAAAUUUGUAAAUACCUCUAGUUCAAGUUAUAAGUUAGUUAUGUUUUCAUGAUCCAUUGGGGAGACUGGUCUCCAAAAGAAUCACAAGGAGAAAUGUAUUAAUUAGAAUCUUGAACCCUAGAGGCAUUUCCCACAAUCCCCUUUUCCUUUUCCUAUUAGGCAUCAUUGGUUAAUUUGAUAUUCAAUUUCAACUUCCUUCACACUGGUGCUCUCCUGCAAACAGCUCUCUCUUUCUAGCUUAUACCAGAGUGGAGGAAGGGAGUGUUUUUUUUUCUUUCUCUGUUUUUUUCUAAUUCCUCUCUUUGCUCUAAGUGGAUUUUAAUAAAUAGGAAUAAAUUAAUACUUGUAGUAUUGAAUAUUCAUUUUAAUGUUUAUAUUAUUUAAAGAUAUAAAGAGUUUUAUAUGUAUGCAUAUAUAUGCAUAUUUAU